rnacentral:misc_RNA from 1 species
AUGAACAGAUGAUACCUUUCACGGGAAGGUCCUCUCUGCGACAGUUCGUCAAAGGGAAACCACGGCCAGUGGGACUCAAAAAUUUUGUUGCGACCAUUUCCAAAGGCCUGGUGAUGGACUAUGAGAUAUAUCGAGGGAAAUCAACCCCUCUUGCUGACACAGCACUUGGCCUUGGUCCUAAUGUUGUUUGGAGACUUGUGCAAACUCUGCCCGAGAGGUCCCUCAUCUCCUUUGACAGGUACUUCACAACGAUCCCUCUCUUGGAUGAGCUUCUAAAGAGGGGCAUCGAAGGAACAGGAACAAUAAUGGCAAAUCAAAUUAAGAACAUUCGGUUUCGAAGUGACAACACCAUGAAGCAGAGAGAAUACGCGGGGUACACCCGUGACGAUGGAAAUGUGGUUGUAGUCAAGUGGAAGGACAGCAGAGCCAUGACCCUUGCAUCAACUUCUACUGGAGCCAGUCCUGUUGAACCUGUAAAGCGCUGGUCAAAACAGGAAAAAAAGUACAUCGAUGUACCAGCACCGGCAAUUGUCCGAAGGUACAAUGCGUGCAUGGGGGGCGUCGACAUUUGUGAUCAGCUGUUGGAAUAUUACAGGAUCGCUAUCAAGACAAGGAAAUGGACUUUAAAGGUCAGCCUACACAUGAUCGACCUCUCUCUUGCCAACUGUUGGAUGGAAUACAGUGACGCCUGCAGGGCAAAUGCUGUGCCACAGCGAGACACUAUGGACCUUCUCGACUUCCGCCUGGCAGUCGCUGAAGCUCUCUGCUCAAAACCCAAAAGAAAAAGAAGUGAAGCCGCGGAAGAGGUCGAUGACUCAAAUGGCCAGAUUCAGCAGCCUUACAAGGUGGCAAAGCUCCCCGGUGAAGAUAAGCGGCUAGAUUCCUUUGACCACUGGCCCACCGUGGAUGCCCUGAAGACCCCCCGAAUAUGCAGGUUGUCGGGAUGCAACUCACGGUCAAGGACGCAUUGCGAAAAAUGCAAUGUUUACCUUUGCCUGACAAGCGAUAGGAACUGCUUCAAGUUAUUUCAUACUUCCCUGUGAGGCAAAUGUGUCUCUGAGGCAAUGUUUUCCUUGGCAUAUAUUUGUUUACAGUUCGUGAGAUUCAUAGCAAUUGAAGCCCGACCCACACAUUUCUGUGGGUCCGUUUUGAAAAUGAAAGUAAAUUUUCUUUUUUAUCUUUCAGAUAUAUUAUAAGAGGCGUUCAGUGGUCUGAAAAUCCACAAAAGAUUUCAUAUUUGUGGUCAACGUUUUUACCGGGCAGGGAAGGGUUAUAGCAGAUCCAUGUGGGGCAAGCUGUGUAUAUCAACCAGGAAUCCUGGGGCAACAUGCGGAAAGCGGAGUGCGACUCCAUGUUUUGCAAAAUCAAGGCUUCUUCCAUAUGGCUACUUGAAGUGCUUUUGGAGAGGUCGGUGACCAACACCCUCUCCAACCAGGCAAAGAUGGCGGGGCAAGAAAAGGCGUUUGCACCACUCACUCCACAAAAGGUGCUGGCCCUCUCGGGUUCUCCUCGUUGAUCCGCACUCUUUCUUUCCUGUUAAUAUGACCCUGAGCUUCGAGAAUGGCCUCUCAACGCUAACACUGGACACUGGCAGGCUGAGGAGAUGAAGCGCUGCCCGAGUCAAAAUCGGCCAAUCAACAUAUUGUGACUGCCGAAAGAGGCACGGUGCGACGUUUUGAAGCACAACACAACAUGCAGAGCUCGCAUCAAGUUAGUCUUCCUUACAAUGAUUUUGAAAACACGUUCGUACAUGGCGAAGUCAUGGGGCGUUCCUCACUUCACAUUCCAAUCGAUGAUGCGCACAUUACACCAUAACGUCGUGAUGGCAUCUAUGUAUCUCAUACAUUCGGACACGUUUCAAUAGACACUGUCGUUCCACUUUUUCGCCACGGCUCUGCGGUACGACUGGAAGGUAAAAGUGAGCGCUUCCGGUUAAAACUGAAUUUUAGAAGAUGGAUUUGUUGUACUUUUAUCAGUUUUUAUCGGUUUAAAUCGAAAAUGCCGAACCUAAAAACUACCCUUUUUUAGUUAAUACCGAAUCUCCGAACAUGAAUUCGGCGUACUUUUACUGGUUUUUAUCGGUUUAAACCGAAAACUCCAAACCCUACGUAUAAGAAGCCUGAUUACCUUGAUCUCUCUCAUUGUCGACAUUCUUUGUUUUGUGCCGAUUGUCAGUGUGUGUUCACUUCUCUCCGGUCGUGUCUGUUCGACCGACGCCUUUUCAUUAUGCACGGCCCUUUUUUUAAAAGCAUGUUUUGAAUUUUGUUUUAUUGUAAUCUGGUUUUAAUCAUUGUGUUGUAUGGGUCAAGUGCAUUUUUUUAUAUUUCAUGUUUAAGGGUGUGCCAGUACCACGGUCGAAUGGCUGUUACUGGGCACCAAAUAAAACUGAUUGUUGAUUCUUGAUUGAUCAUUAUUAUUAUUAUUUUUGCUAAGGAGAGCCAGAAUUUCUUGCCAGAGGUUAAAGUUUUUUUCUUGCCAGAGGUUAAAGUUUUUUGUUGCCAUUAAACAAAAACUAAAUCCAGAUUUGAUAUUGCCCUCUGCCAUGCAUAAAACUAGACACCGUCAAUAAAUUGUCUUCAGUGUUUGUUUUCAGCGAAUGCCGUCCUUCAUGGUCCACUACAGGUCUCAAAUCUCUCUGGACAAUGUAUCAUUUCGAGUUGUCAAGGAAACAGUCAAAGUCUGCAUGUUCGGAAUGUAAUACUACAAAAAGACUUGGGAGAAAUAAAAAAAACAGGUGGACGUGCCCCAAACAUACGGCCAAUAAAAAAGGGUCAGCUGAAAACAGACAAGGCCAAGCAGCUGCAGGAGGCACUUGAUGCAGAGCAGCAGACUGGUCAAAGAGAGAAGAGAAGAGCGUACAAUAGAAUUGCCAACUGCAAUUCCCAUCGUAACCAUGGUUUCGAGGACAUAAAGCUUUUAGCCUAAACACGGAGAGGGACAUUACUGAGAGAAAACAAAUGUUGGCAAGGGAAGGACUUACAUCUGUAUCAGAUGUAAAAACAGCCAGCACUAUUAUGUGCAUGACAUACUUUUUUUAAGCAAGUGAAAACCUGAUGGCAGCUGCAGGGCCUUUUACCAGACACAUUGUGAUAUCAUUAACAAGAUCCAAGCUGUUUUUAAGAAAGACUGCUUCAGCACGGUUGAUCAAGAGAAUAGUAGCAUUCUAAUUGAAAAGAUCAGGAGCCCCAAUGCUUCAUUGUCUAUUGGCUGUAUGCGGCAUGCAGCUGCGUGGGUAGCAGCGACUCGGACGGCGUGGAAGACAGUGCUGCCAGUGAGUGUGAGGACACGUUGCUCUUCUACUUCCAGACAAAAUUCAUGAGAAACAUGUUGAGAAACUAUAGAGGCUCAGUAGGUUGUGUACACAAAGCUGGUGAACAUGCCCUACCACCUUCCUUGCUUGCUGUGAAAAUGCCAUCAGGAUACACACAAGCUGGUAUGUUUAUUGUGCAGUUCGAUACAGCCCACUGUAUCACCGAGGCUUUAGACGUUUUCAAGCAGUGGUGUAAUAACUGGUCACCACAGCACUGGAUGGAAGAUUACAGCAAAACAAAAAUAGCUGCCUUCCAGCAAGUGCUUCCAGAGAGUAAAAUCUCCAUCUGCGACUUCCAUAAAAAACAGGCAUGGCAAAGGUGGCUGGGCAGACAGGAAAACAGCAUGUCCGAUCUGGAUGAGGCUCCGAACCUUAUAAAACACUUAGCGAGUGCUUCAAAUCCCAAUGACUUCUACAAGGCGUUCAAAGUCCUUGUUGCCUAAGAGUGUUGAGAAAAUGAAAACUUCCGCAUUUACUUUGAAGUAGCGUGGCCCUCUGUAAAAGAGCUGUGGGCCAUGUCUUACAGGCUGUUAUUGGAUGCUGUCUUGACCACAAAUGAUAGCACAGAGCAGGGGUGGCCAAACCGCGGCUCGCGAACCGCAUGCGGCUCUUUGCUGGUCUAAGUGCGGCUUGCGGAUCCCUCGUAAGGGGACACCCCCCCCCCCCCCCCCUUCGCCCCUUUCCGCGUU